ensembl:snRNA LOC120103364 U2 spliceosomal RNA
AUCGCUUCUCGGCCUUUUGGCUAAGAUCAAGUGAAGAAUUAAAAUUUUAAAAACUUACACAUAAGUGUGUAUACGUGCAUAUACCAUAUGUAUAUAUGUGUGUAUGCCAUAUGUAUGUGGAUGUCCC